rnacentral:rRNA from 1 species
AGCACUUUGAAGAGAGAGUUAAAGAGGACGUGAAACCGGUAAGGUGGAAACGGAUAGAGUCGGCGUAUCAUUCAAUUAUUCAGUUACAUUAUUUUUAUGUUGUGACCUCUGAGCUCCAGAUUGGGACAGAGGGAAUCAGCAUAAUUUUUUGUGGUGCAUUUACUUGAUUGGUGCUUGGGGAUGUUUGAGGCAGAUUUGUUUCCGUCGUUUUGAGGCCAGCUUGCUGGUACCCAAACGGUGUUAGCAUUUUUUGUCUUGGGCAUUUGAGUAUGGCUCACGUGUAUUUAUUGGUCAGAUCUGAGUGUAAGUUACGGUCGCAUGCGACACGUGCUUUUCAAUUAGUUCGGUCCAGUUAAUGCUCUCGUACUCGUUCCCCAUGUAAAAGCCGGUCAUCUAUCCGACCCGUCUUGAAACACGGACCAAGGAGUUUAUCGUGUGCGCAAGUUUUUGGGUGUUAAAAACUUAAAAGCGAAAUGAAAGUAAAUGACUCUUUAGAGUCUGAUGUGCGAUCUUGUAAAAAAGUGCAGCAUGGCCCCAUUCUAACUGUUUACAGUAGGGUGGCGGAAGAGCGUNCACGGUGAGACCCGAAAGAUGGUGAACUAUUCCUGAGCAGGACGAAGCC